UACGGAGGAUGCAAGCGUUAUCCGGAUUUAUUGGGUUUAAAGGGUGCGCAGGUUGUUUGAUAAGUCAGUGGUGAAAGUCUGUCGCUUAACGGUAGGAUUGCCAUUGAUACUGUUGGACUUGAAUAUGGAUGAGGUAGGCGGAAUUUGUGGUGUAGCGGUGAAAUGCAUAGAUAUCACGAGGAACUCCGAUUGCGCAGGCAGCUUACUAAACUACUACUGACGCUCAGGCACGAAGGCGUGGGGAUCAAACAGGAUUAGA
rnacentral:rRNA from 1 species